GAUGAACGCUGGCGGCGUGCUUAACACAUGCAAGUCGAGCGAUGAAGUUUCCUUCGGGAAACGGAUUAGCGGCGGACGGGUGAGUAACACGUGGGUAACCUGCCUCAUAGAGUGGAAUAGCCUUCCGAAAGGAAGAUUAAUACCGCAUAACGUUGAAAGAUGGCAUCAUCAUUCAACCAAAGGAGCAAUCCGCUAUGAGAUGGACCCGCGGCGCAUUAGCUAGUUGGUGGGGUAACGGCCUACCAAGGCGACGAUCAGUAGCCGACCUGAGAGGGUGACCGGCCACAUUGGGACUGAGACACGGCCCAA
rnacentral:rRNA from 1 species